CCGCAAUAUUAACGCUAACCCGCACCGGAAAAGGAACACCGGAAGCGGCAGGUUUGCGCCUUUACGAAGUGCACGCGAUUCCUAGCUUAAAACGAUGAAAGUCGCUAAUGGAGUCUCUAAUAAACAUUCAGAGUUAUAGUCUUUUAGGAGAGACCGUGUUACCUUUGAUGGAGAAUCCAGAGGAAAAUGAAGCAGAGGACUGACUGAAGAGCUGCAUUAAAACUGUAAGUAAACCGUGAGCUUCACUUCUUUCUCAUGUUGUGGCCUCAGGGUAACUUUAGCCUCAUUAACACUCAGGUAGUUAUUGGUCAGUCAAGUCUAUGAGUUACUUUAUCCCUGAUUUGAGGUGAAAGCACUCUGAUAGUGCCAUGUUUGUUUUGCUCUAGCUGAUAUAAUUGGUUUUGUUGAGUUCUCAGUUUAUAAAUGUAUGAAUGUGUUAAUUCUGUUUACUGAUGAUGAGCUCCUGUUGCUGUUGAAUCUGACUGGAGAUGGAAAGUUCAGUUUGAAACCUGGGAUUUGGCUUGAACUCACCCUUUAAGGGCUUGACUUUGGGUAGAGGUUUGGGAGGUGCAAACAAUCUUUUGAUUUCUGACCCAUGCUGCUUAAACUUUGUUAUUUAUCUUGGUUUUGUUUUUCAAUUUGCACAUGGAGAGGAGUCUAUCUGUAGGUUGAACACAGGUCCAUGUAGAAGUCAGAAACUCACACUUAGUUCAUGCAAACUUUUAUUGUCCAUAUACCUCUUAGAUAGAUAGAUAGAUAGAUAGAUAGAUAGAUAGAAUGUUAUUGUCAUUGUGACAAGCAAAAUGAAAUUUAAAAAAGUGCCUUUACAGUCAGUGCAUUAAAAAAAGAGACAAUAAAACAUUAGACAGUAAAACAGUAAAACCAGUGCAGAGUUAAAACUAGUAAAAAAUGUAAAACUACACCCAUAAAUACAUAGGCAACACAUCAUCUGGCUUUCAUGGAGGCGUUGAUGGAACAGACAGUGUUUGGGGAAAAAGCUGUUUUGCAGUCUUUUUGACGGUAACAGGGCUUUGAUGGCCCUGUACCGUCUACCUGACGGCAGUGACUCAAACAGUGGGUGGCCCUGGUGGGAUGAGUCCUUAAUGAUGUUUGUGGCUCUCCUGAGGCAGUAAGAGCUGUGUUUAAACAUCAUCCCAUCUUGUUCUUGUAAAACCCAGUAUUAGGUGUAUCUUCACACCCUUAAUUAAUAUACAGCGUAGGAUAAUGUAAACAGAUCGGCUGAUAAUUGUAUGACUUUGAUUAUUUUGCUGCUAUUUAAUAAAUCUCCCAAAAAGACCUGACCCACUCUAGACCCUAAAAGACUUGAGACAUGACUGAGAUUUAACUCUCAUUGACUGAAGGAAUGACCGGGACUUGCUGUUGCUUUUGAGGACUGUGGAUUUGUAACAAGAGAUUUGAGACUUGACUUGAAAUUGCAAAAAGUAACUUGCGUCCAUCUGUAAUUCUGACACAGCUAUUUGAUUGAGAACUGAGGAUACCUUUUUUAAUAGUAGAGCUGUAAUUCACAGUUUUGUGAAUCUAAAAUACUUACAAGAAAGAGAUAAAUUGCAUAAGGGUUAUUUAUCUGUUUGGUGAUACUCAUCCUCAGCUGUUAAACUCUUCAUGUCCUGUCAUUUUUAUAUGAUGUAAAAAGAUAGUGACUCUUUUCUGCCCUCUGGUGUUCGUUCUCUAAACUGAUCCUCUCUCUUUUUUUGUUGAGUACCAGGAAAGCCAAGGUCUUCAUUUCCCAUUUGAUUACACUGUUUGAAAAAGGAAUUACGAGCAGAGCAUACAAACAGUUCGAUGAGUGACUCAGUUUGUGCUAGAUACGAACCCCCCGUCUGACAACGCAUUCAUUCCCGUCUUGAUGAGGUGUAUGUGUUUUGCAUGAGGUUACCUUGGUAACCCGUUAGUUCCCAACAUGCGUCUGCUUGUGUGAAUGCAUGUGAGUGUGUGUGUUUGAUGUUUCCAUGGCAACGGUGGCCCCUGCCGACCUUGGUCCUUCCGGGCCCCUAUCCUCUGUCUCCGUCUCCGUCCUUCUCUUGGCUCUCCAGCUCGUGUCUGACUGAACGGCAGCUGCUUUGGACUUCGGCGUCUUUAUGAGUUUCGACAUGCUCACUGGCAGUGGUGUGUUUUGGCAGCUUAGCCCUUAUUUGUUUUACUUAGCAGACGUUCAGAAUAGCCACUAAGGCAGACAAUGACAAGUAUUCAUUUAAAAACAAGAGCUCUGCAUUUACAAGCUUGACUUGUGUCAAUUACAAAUGAUUUGAUUUACAAAAUACCCUUAAAGCUCACAAAAGAAGACAGUAGCUGAGUGUUAAUCAUGACAAUCAUAAGCUGUCUUAGGAUAUUACAUUAGAGAUGAAAUAUCACAUGGAAGUUGCAGCACAGUGCUGUAUCUAUCAGGGUUGAACUGAUUUGACCUUUGAAACUAAUUUAGCGCUUAUAAAGAAAGAGAGAAAAACAAACACUAAGACACAAACUAUGAUUAAAGCAAAGAAAACGAAAAACCUAAAAAGCAAUUUAAUGAUGUUAAACAUAUUAGAAGGAAAAAGGAUAUGGUUAGAAAGAAGUAGAGAGACGAUAGCAAUAAAACGAUGAUAGUUAAGUUGGUAAAAAUUUACAAAUUUACCAAAUUAUAGACCAUGUUUAAUCUAUUUAACAUAGUCCAUAACUACUUAUAUCCUUAUCCUGUGAACUGAAUUCUUAUUGUUUCAUCAUUACUUGCUCUGCAACCACAACUCUUUACGAGCUGUUGUUGUUGUUGUUUUGAUGUUGCUGCUGUCACCUCUCCAUCUCUCUCUCUCUCACCCUUGUUCUCUUUUCUCUCUUUCUCCCUCUCUCUUGCUCAUUCUCUUUCUCCUUCCUACUCUCUUGUUCUCUUUCUCUCCCCCUGCCCUCUCUCCUACUUCUCUCUCCCUCACCCUCCUUAUCUCUCUGUAUUUCUCCCCAACUCAGCAGCGGUGAGGUGGUUGUCUAACAUGAGUCUGGUCCUGCUCAAGGUUUCUGCCUAUUAAAAGGAAGUUUGUCACUCAUGUUAGAUGAGAUGGGUCAAAUUUGAACCAUCUUAACGGUCUUGGUAAUUCAUCAAACAACAAGCGUGGUCUAAACUUGCUCUUUUUUUGGAAAGCGUCUUGGAAAAACAACUGUUAUGAUUUGGCGCUAUAUAGAUAAACUUUGAUUGAUUUGAUCGAUUGUAAAAUGACUUUUAAGAAGUUCUUUAUAAGAGGUUCAUAAAUUUUAGGAUCCUCAUCUCCUCAGAUUGUUUCAAAGUUGAAGGACCCUGACUGAAAAGGCACAGUCUCCAUGACUUUGGAGCAACCAAAGAGCCACACCUGAAGACUUAAGGAUGAAAAUAUAUAUGCCAUAUGAAAUAAAUCAUAUGGUAGAUUUAGGGAGAUGUGAUAUCGGUGUUCAAAACCAGUAAGAAGCUUUGGUGCUACAGUCCGUGCUGGUUGGAGGCAUGAGAGUGUAUUUGGUUCAUACUGAAAAGGAGUGAGUUUAAUAAAUCUGGAGGAACUGAGCGCACGGACAAUUGAGAGUGAAUCAGAUUUAUUUUGGCGUUGUAGAAAGGGAUCGAUGACAGAUUCAAACCAAGCCCAUACAGAGAGAGGACUCCUCUUCUUUUUGCAGAAAUACAGUAGUUUUUUUGAUGCGGGGUCUGUGCUACAAAAGUCACUUUAGUGCAAAACCUAUGUGUGAUGCAGCAGGCCAGUCAGGUCACAGGUGUGCAUGUAAAAAUGUACAUAUGUGAUAAUGUUAUCAGGAAAACCUUUGGUUGAACUUGACAAGGACUGAGCAGAUUCAGUGUGUGUGUGUGUGUGUGUGUGUGUGUGUGUGUGUGUGUGUGUGUGUGUGUGUGUGUGUGUGUGUGUGUGUGUGUGUAAAAGACUUAGCCAACAUCAGAGUGAUAUAUUGUACCUGUUGAGCAAGACCUCGAACAUUUUCUGUCCUUGCCUCUAAAACAAUAAACAAAUCUUAUUUCUGACUGUACAGUGUAAGAUUCAUGCUCCAGUAUUAGUGACUCAUCAUCACAUUAUUUAUUUAACACCCUCUCUACCUUACAGGCCUUUGCAGCCUCCAUGCCUGAGGCAGCGAACCUGUCCAUCCAUCAGCGUCUCUAAGCCUCCUAAUAGUUGGCUCUGUUUAAAUGACAGGCCUUUCAUCUGCCUCUCUGCCCUCUCCAGCUACAUGACUUUAAUGGCCCUGACAUCAUGUAAGCCGCAGCAGCUGGCUGUUUGAGUACAGGAGCGAGUGUGUAUGAGUCUGUGUGUGUGUGUGUGCGUAGAUGGACAGGGAGUUGUUGGUACCUGCAUGAUGGUGUGGCUCUAAUCCAUGUUUGUUCUGCUCCAGCACCAAGGGAGAAUGUCUCACACAUAUACACACAUGGGGCACACCUGCAGCCUCACACACAAACACACACACAUACACACAUGAACUCCACCUUUGCUGUGCAUCAAAAAGGAGAAGUAGAUUAAACAUCCUGUUUGUGCAGAAGUAGAAAUUUUAUCAUCAGAGGCGGUGAUUGUGAUCUCCGCUUGAAUGCUGGUCUUUGAUAGUACACUGUUCUCUAGCGCAGAAUUACAUGCUGCAGGGUAAAAAUAGCCAAUUUACUGCAUGAAAAUAACUCGAUAUACUUAAAAUCCCACUCCUAUCAUUAUUUUUUACUACUUAAAGUGUCUUUAAAUGGUGAUUAAGUAGUUUUUACCAAAAAUCGCGUUACCUGUGUCAUUUUCAAGUGCUUUUCUUCUGCAGAGCUCCUGUAGCUCAUUAGCAAUUCGCCUCUGAGUCUUGGACAGAGACAGCGCUGCUCUGCACACUCGUCUCUAUGUUAGCUUGCAGCCUAACAUUGCCGGUGUAGUAGAAGUGACAGGUAACAUAGGAGCUAUUCAGCUCUGAGACACAAAUGUCUUUGGGAACAUGAUGAAAGCUAAUAUCAUAAUUAGCUUUUUUUACGCGCAUUACAAUCCGCUUGUUUCGCGAUCAUCCUCUCUAUUUCUCCUCUAUAUGCACAGUCUGGUCUGCAUAGUGGGGCUCCGGGGGCGGAGCUUGGAUUUGUGAUGUAAGAAAUCUCACUGUUUCUUAACCUGCCGUUUGGGUCUGCCAGAGAUUUACAGCGAUUUGAAUGAAGAAAUACUCAGAAAUGCAAUUUUGCAUUUAGAUUUCUCAUGAUAUGUCCUGUAGCAUCAGAAAAAUGCCAUAUGAACAUGUAGACGACAAGAAAAAUAUGAUUUUCAUCGUAGUGGGUCUUUAAAUACAGACCUACAGUACUAGUUUGGAAAAACAACAUACAGGUUGCAGUUGCAGUGAAGCUGUACUCUGAAAUAUUUAACAUGCUGCUGUUUUUGCAGCUUUUUUGAGAUACUAAAGUUGUGCACUUUUAUCAGCCAUCAGUUUAAUAAUUUAUGGAUUUCAAAAAGACACUGAAGCUCUUUCAACCUUUAAAAAACUGCUUAAUUGUGGUGUGCAGUUUUUCAUCUGAAGUGAUUUUUGUGAGCAAUGUCGACCUGAAAAUACCGCUGGUGGUCACUGUUGACAGAACAUGAAAAAUCUGAUUUCUCCAGUUAAAGUCUGACUACAGCGUCUGGCGAUUGAGACACACAUACCAGUCAGUCAGUAAGCUAAUCUAAGGGAGAGAGGCAGACAAGAGGGGGAGACAGACCACCAACAGAGUUUUAGAGUCUAUCUCAAAGUGUGUGUGGGAGAGAGGGAGCCGUUAUCGCUCCACAGCUUUGAUAUGAGACUGAGUUUGAGCUGAAGUGGAAAGAUUUGCACAGUUGGUUUCACAACUUCUCUUAUCUGUGACGACUGAAGUAAGGUCUGAUACUACUUUUGCUACUGCUGCUCUGUGUGUGUGUGUGUGUGUGUGCGUGUGUGUGUAUGUGUAUGUGUGUGAGCAUGCACAGAAUGGGAGAAUAUCAGUGUAAGCGUGUAGCCGUGUAUAUGUAGGAUGGGAAUGCAUGUGUAUGAGAAACAUAUCAUAAAAGCAGUUUACAUAAGUGACAGAUAAUGGUAAAGAAAAUAACACAAACACCACCUCACAGCUGAAACCCAGAAGUCUGCAGCACAGGAACUCGUAAUAAUCCUUAAAGGGACACUGAUAACCUUUUUUAAGCAAGUAUGACUCAGGAAGUCCGACUCACAGCCAGGUGUGGGGUCAGAUCUGCUUCACUGUGAUGUCUGGACAGAUUAUCACACCAGGAUGUAAUCUGACCAUAAAGACACUUUAAGGUCAAAUCCAGCAGGAAGCUUGAAUAAAGGGGAUUUUUUUUCUUCAUUUCUGAUCCUCUUAAGCUAUUUACACUAGACAUUUGGGAUUUUAAAAUCAGAGCAGAAUCAAUAAUCAGGAAGAAGAGACGAUUCCCCAUAACCCUGUGUAACAGUUUUUACUGCACACAGAAACUGAAGUGAGCAAGAGAAGAAAGAGUGAGUAAAAAAUUAAGAAGUAAAGGCAAAGUAAGGGAGAAAAAGGGAAGAAAGUGGGAAGACAAGAGAAAUGAAGGGAGAACGAGGGAAAAAAGAAAUGAAAAAGAGGGAAGAAAGUGAGAAAAAAGAAGAAGGUAGGGAAAAAGAAGGAUGAAAGAGAGAAGAAAGGGUGAAUAAAGAACGAAUAAGUAAAGGCAAAAUAAGGGAGAAAUAUGGAAGAAAGAAGGGGAAAAGACGGAUGAAAGAGAGAAGACAGAAGGUGAAAAGAAAGAAAGAGGGUCUAGAGAAGGGGGAAAUAAAGGAGAAAGAGGGUAUAAAGAAGGAAGAAAGAGAAGAAAGUAGGGAAAAGCAAUAGAAUGGAAGGGAAAAGAAUGAGGAGAGAGAGAAGAAAGAAAGAAGGAAAAAAGGAAGAAAGAGGGGGAUAGAAGGGAAAAGAAGGAAGACAUAAUUGAUAAGAAGGACAAAAACUGGACACAAGAAGGGUAGAAGGAAUAAAGAUUGAAGAAAUAAGCAAUAAAGAAAUAUAAAGAAGGAAGAAAGACAAGGAAUUAAGAAUGGGGGGGAAAAAGAAGAAAGAAAGUAUAAAAAUGGAAGAAGGAAGAGAUGAAGAAGGAGGGAGGCAGGGAUAGAGUUGGGACAAGGUGGGGCGAUAAGAACAAAGACGGUAAAGAAGGACAUUUCUGCCUUGUUUUGUUGGAAGCCCUAACAUCUGGAGAAUCUUAAAUAAGCUUUUAAACACGGUUAAACUUGUUUACAGUGUGAAGUAAAAGAGUAACAGGAGUUAAUAAUCUAAACAUCAUGACAAAAACUGUAGACAGAAUACACUGUAACUGUGUUAACAGCUGUGUGGGAGUGAUUUUAAAGUCAGCUAUUGAUGCCACCAGAGUAAGACCAAAGUGAUCCGCACGCUCUUAUGUAUGAUUUUCUCUUUCACUGGUCAAAGUCGCUCAGAAUAAGAAAGGACUUUGAAUACAAACGUAGCAGUGAGCUCAAGUAAAGCUGGUGCAGCAGAUCAUUAAAUGGAGGUAAAAGGAGAAAUUAAAUCUGCUGGUUUCCACUGCUGCUACAUACGGAGUCAGGUGUGAGUUUGGAGGCAGGCGGACCAGCAUGUUUAUCUGAGGCCUCUAUCAGGCACAGACCAAACAUUUGCCUUACCUGCUUCUCCCUCUUUCCCUCUCUUCCUCCCUGUCCCUCACUCUACCCACAUAACUUUUCUUCUGAAGAGGCGGCCUGCUGCCAAACUUUGACCACUAUCAAAGACAAAGACAGGGAGUGAGGGAGGACAGGGGCUUUUGAAAACUGUCUGUGUAUACACACGUGCAUAUGGAUGUGGGUGUGUGGUCUGCUUCAGACGUCUGACUUUAUUUUGUUAAUACUAUAUUAAGUUGAAGCAUUUUGAAAUGAUCCUAUUGAGAGAAUAUUAGAUAACGAUGAUUGAAGGAUUACAUCUUCACACAUGAGAAAAGUGAGUUUUCUCUUUUUUCUGCUACUUGGUUUAAGGUUUUCUAGUAGAAUACAGACACAACAGGAAAGUCGGACUAACACAGGGCUCAUAUAUGUGUGAGGUAAGUGAGAAAAAAAUGACACUUUGAUAAUGUGCAGUGCUGGGUUACAUUAUAACAAGCAUUAUUUGACUGAAUGCAUUAAGGGAUUAAAAUAUAAGACAAGUAAAAUAUUCUAAUUAUAAAAUCUUUUUUUUUUGCCUCAAUCCCUCAAAUCCACUCAUGCAAAGAAGGCAGACUAAUUUUGACAAUCGAGAUAGUUUUCCUUUUAACCACUAGAUGGCGAUGCAUCCUCACCAAUGAGCACUUUGCAGCUGCUUAAGAAUUACCUGCUGAACAGGCUUCAUGUAAGAUGUAUAAGUGAUCCUAUAAUUUAUCAUGUAAAGGUGUGGAAGAGAUUUUAUACACUUAAAGUUGAAUAACUCAACUUUGAAUAGUUUAGAUUAAGAGAAUUUAUGAGGUAGGACGUGAAUUUUACCAGAGCAUUUUACUUGAACUAUAAGAAACAGACUAUUGAGAUAACUUUAUAAUUUGCUAAGUUGUGCGAGUGUGACUAAGUGUGUAUUUGUGAUGACAUAACUCCUCAGUCUGCUAUCCGUUACUGUGCUCCUGUGUGUAGCUGCUCUCUUUACAUUGUCCUGACAAACGCACAGCAUAUACUGCUUCCAUGUUUACCUGCCGUGCGUCUGAAGCAGCUGCUGACUAAUUGUAAUGACAGUAAUCCCAACCUGAAGGAAAACACACAAAUGCAAACACACAUUAAACACACACAUUAAGCAAAGCAGAGCACCUGAAUCUGGGGGACCUUCACGCUUCGCGUUUUAAAAAAUUUCAGCAAAUAUUUGCUCGAAAUGCUUAAAAGAUGUUUGCUGCUUUUUUUUUCGUUUCAUCUAUUGUGACUUCAAACCGCUUGUACACACUGAGGUUUACUAUAGAGACAAAGAGAGCAGGAGCUGGUUAAAGGCCGCUCAUUGUCCGGAUGUAGACAUGUUGAUGAAUGUUCAGGCUGUACUUUCACACUCCGUCUCCCAUCAGAUCUCAUCCAGGUGUGUUUGUGUGUGACUUUUCGCUUGACCAAGAGUUUAGAUGAUACACAAAUCAUACUUUUUUUAAGGUGAUCUAAAUUAGACGAUGGACAGACAACCAAGGUUAUAAUAAUUUUGGGUUUGUCAUUAUAGUUUAGUUUUAGUUAGUUUUGACAUUGUUUUUCCAUUAUAGUUAGAGUGGGCAUUCUAGUUUUUAUUUAAUUUUGAUUUUUGCAACAAGGCUUAGUUUUAGUUUAGUUUUAGUUUUUUCAUACCGUUUUUGUCAGGUGCAGGAUUCAAAAUGUCCCAGAGUAAGUAUUUUGUAAUACUGUUUAUUUUCAAGUCCAACAUAGUGCUCACUGCUCAGUCAAUGCUGAUACUGUACUGUUGGCUGCUGCCUUAAACACGAGAAAAUGAUAUAAACUUAAUAUAAAAAAUAUAAACAUACAGGCGGGAGGCGGAACACUGCCACCUCCUCCCAACUUUAGGCAUUUCUUCCAAGUUUUUCCAACAACACAAGCUCCGUCGCAGCACAGCGCAGUAAACAAGGAAGUCCCAGUACGUCGCUAUGAUGGUGCCGUACGGCGCUGACAACUGCCGAAAACUGUCGUAAAAUUGGUUGGGAAAAUGUGUCGGAUUAAUUUAAAUCCUAAAGGCUGAUAAAUAUUGUCAAAAACAAUAACGAAGGACAUUUUGUCUGUAAUUUCAGUAAGUUUCAGUUAGUUAUGUGAACACGAGACACAUUUUUAGUUUACUUAUCGUUUUGGUUUUAUUUUCUAGUUUUUAUUAGUUUGAGUUAACUGCAAUGUAUUUUAGAUUUAAGUUUGAAUUUUUAGUUUCGUUUUAGUUUACUAUUAUAAACUUGCAGACAACAGAUAAAAUAAUUUCUCCAGAUGGAUCACUGACUGCGGCUCUCAUAUGUCCAACAUGUGCUGUUAUAUAGUGGACAUUGACAGCGCAACAAUAGAAAAAGAAAAAGGUAGCACCCAACUGUAUUUUUUCCUCUUAAGAUGACAGGUUAAGGCUUCAAACUGUGAUGUAAAAACAAUUUUUAGUAGCUAAUCCUGCAUUUGUCAAGCGGGGGUAUGACUGCAUCUUUUCUCUACGGCUCACCAAAAGUCAAAAUAUCAGGGUCAGAUUCCAUAACUGAGAUUUUUGUGGAAAUGCCAUGGAAACUUAAGAGCUGCAGUUACAGCAAGAACCAAAAACCUUGUAUUUGUUCUUGCUACUUCAUAUUUCCACUCUCAGUGUCACUCAUAUUAAAUGUAAUAAGAGGGAUCAGAAAAAGCCCUUUGACAGUGUUGCAGACCUGGUUCACUUACCUGCUGCAGUCAGUUAGAAAUAUAGAAGUGCAAGUAAAAUACAGUUGGUAAAAAUGCAUCUUGUUCUGUGCUGUGGCUAUAGAUAUACAUAUCUAUAUUUUGCAUUAAAGCAGUUAACCAAUGUUUACUCCGUUUGAUAUAAAACAGACUUGUUCAGUCAUCUCAAAAAGUACAUAAUCCCUUCAAUGAUUGAUUUUGGUCACUGAACUGCACUGAACACCGUCCAAUCACCAAAAAAGUUGAUAUUGCAAACAUUUCAACUGCAGAGUAGUGUUUCAAAGCAGAAUCAAGAUCGGCUUAUAUUGACCAGUAUGUGUGCACAUAACAGGAUUCUGACUCUGGUUGGUGUAGGUCUAUGGAGCGACAAGAAAUGUACAAAGGAGCUUGACAUGACAUAGUCCUAAUCAACAUGUGCGAAGUAGGGCUGGGCAAUAAACCAAAAAUUUACCCAUACCGAAAAUUUACAACAAUAACCAACGUCAUUUUGCCCAUGUGUAGGUAGGCUAUGGUCUCAUGCCCCUUUAAGACGCUGUCCUAUGACGGAGAUGUGACUCCACCCCCAUCCAGUCCGUAAGAAAGAGGGAAAAACAGGUGAGGAGAUGGAGGACGAUUCAAAAGUUGUAGUGGCUGGAGCGGUGGCUGGAGUAGACAAAGUUAAUGUGGGAGGGGGUGAGCAGCUUGUGGAGUAGUUAUCGUCCGUUUAUCGUUAUCGAGGUGAACUGCUCAAUAUAUCGUGAUAUUAAUUUGAGGCCAUAUUACCCAGCCCUAUUGCGAAGUGAAAGUCAAGCACUUAGGGAAUACUUCAAAUACCAUUAUUCACAAAUGAGUGUACGAACCUCAGUGGAUGCAGGUCAGUUUUGCCUCUCUAAUAUGAAACUGCUGGAGAUACCGGAGCAAGCUAGGCUACAGUUUUCUGCAGAUGUAAUUCAGCAAAUUUUGGGCGGCUCUGAUCCAAGCAUGAAUUUUUUCACUGCUUUGUUCUGCCUUUAGAGAGUUCAUUUGUUUUUGCACCAUGUCCAGACAGACCAUAUUCAUAUUCAAAACUGAACUCAUGUUUUCCUACAGAGGAUUAUGGUACACUCUCACAUACUUUCAUAAACCAUUUCCUCUGCAGUACUGUUUUCCUAUCAGUCCUUUAAGUGGUUCACAUCCUCUAAAGUUUAUUUCACUUCUAAAAAAGUGAAUGACAUGUUCUGGGAGCUGGAUCUGGGCCCUGUGACAGCUAACAGGAGGAAAAUUAGAGGUGGUGAUUAAAGAUGAUGGUUGUUAGGAAAGGUCUUCCUCGUACUCGGCCUGUCUUUCUCUCGUCUCUCUUUGCCUGUCUUACUCUCUCCUCGCUCUGCCUCUGCUAUCAAUGGGAGCUUUCACUUCGCUUUGCAUGAUAAAUAUGAUGUGUGUGUGUAUGUGUGUGUGUGUGUACUAGCGAGUCCAACAGUCCACUCCAAUGCAUGAGUGGCUUGGAGUGAUGCCAGCAUGUAAAACCUAGCAACAAGAUUUGACUUGGCCUGCUGUGAGAGAGCGAGACAGAGCUGGCAUGUGCACAGUAUGGGCAUAUGGAUCUUUGUUUGUCCGUUUUGGACCAUUUAGUCAUUCUGUCACUUCAACUGGACUACUUAGCGAAUUGGUGCUACUUCUGGUUCUGAAUUACACACACACACACACACACACACACACACACACACACACACACACACACACACACACACACACACACGUGAGCCAAGACUUGACUCUGCUGCUUUACAGUCUGUUACUGUUCACAUGGCCUGAAUGAAAUGAAGAACCUCUUCCAAGUAAUCCUUUUAACCAACAUGUGUGAUCCCUGGCUCUCGCUGAUGUGGCCUUCAAGCUCACGGGGUUCAGGCCAAGUCAAGUCAGUUUACAGCCUCUGGGGCUUUUCCUGACCAUCACUGGAUCAGCUAUGAUGCAGGCAGCAGCCCCAGCACUGAUUUCCAUCCACCUCUGAGUCCAACACAAUACAUAUUUGGUUGAUUUAGAGGCUGGACUGUAUUUCUCAUCUGCCUCAUGUGUCAUGAGUCACCCUCAUGAAGAACCUUUAGCCAAAAUCUAUAAAUGAAAAAAAGGGGAACAGAGUUAACCCUAAAGGUGAUGAUAUGAGGUGAUGUCAAGGAGUUCAUUAAACGGCUGUUAUUAUUGGACGUUAUGCAAUUAUGGUUCCUUAACUUUUUUUUUUUUUAAUUUGCACAAACAUUUGAGUAUAUCUGACAUGUGAUUCAGGAUCUCACAUGUGCGUUUUAUUAUAUUGCAGGUGCGAUUUAACUGUUCGUUAAUAAACAAAAUCACUUCCUUAGUCUGAAUAUUGCAGACGGCAAAGUCGCUGUGCGUCAAGGAUUCUGAUGAGGUGUCUCCUACUCAAAACAAUAUCAAAUGUGGCUAAGCUAUAAAGUAUCUCUUAGUGAGUCAUACCUAACUGAAAUAAAAUGUUGAUAAUAUGCUCUCUGUCCAUGACACUGUCCUUCCUCUUUCACAAAUGAGGUGUGCAGUGGAUUAUUUACAUAAAUGAUACGAAUAAAACGCAAGCACAAGAUGCAUAUAAAACUCACAUUCGAGAUAUUAAAUCGCAUGUUUGAGAUAAUAAGUUGCACUUGGGAGAUAAUAAAAUGCAAGUGCGAGGUACUAAGCUGCACAUGCAAAUUAAAAAACAUAGUUCAUGUCACCUUACGGGAUCUGAAGGUUCCUAAUUUGAUGUCGCCCAAAAGACCAAUGGACAACUUUUAGGGGGUUUCCUGUGGUUGAUCUUUGAAAAUGAUGACAAUCAAUGAUCAGUGUAAAAGAAAAAAAAGGAUGUAAAUGCGAAUUUAUAUUUUUCAUUGCAAAUUAGUUGAUGUAACUGAUGGUUGAUGCUUCUUUUAUUGUUUACUCAUUGAAAACUCUUGUGAGGACUCUUUAGCUGGUAAUGAAAUCAAUAUUGAUGCUCCUCAGUGACCUGCAAAGCAAACAAGACCAUCAGCAGCAAGAUUGUUAUGUUAAUAAAGUUAUUUUUUAAUGUCUCUCACUGCCGCCAUGGGGUCUGUACCAGCCGGUGUGAGUAACAGCAUGCGGCCAAACAACCCUUUGUUUCCAUUUUCCACAGCAGAGAUUCACAGUGAGAAAUGCCUUUGACUGUUAAAUGACAACAGAAGGAGAUUGAUUUUUUAUUAGAAAUCACAUCUUACACAUAUAAAGGACACGAUAGGACAAGAGAGAGAGGUAACAUUUUAGUCCACAGGGGGCGCCAGAAUCAACACGAAACCAGAAACAAUGUCAAUGAAGCUUUAACAGGGUCAGUGCGGGUCCCUAAAAAGUCUUAAAUACAUUUUUACCGAUAAAAGGCCUUAAAAAGUAUUAAACUGUCUUAAAUUCAGAGCAGAUAGGUCUUAGAUGUGCUGUAGUCACUUCACCAUCAGAAUUUCUGGUAAGCACAGAACAAACGCUAUUCUUGUCCCAUCAUCAUUAUAUGGUAGCUUUACAAUAACCAUUACUUAUAAAUGGUGAAAAGACAAUUUAUAAAUGGAAAGUGGAUAGUUUAUUAAUGUUUAUUCAUCAUUUAUAAAUAGCAUACAGACCAUUGUUAAAUGUAAAUUUUACAAUUUAAAAAACCUAUCCCUAACUUUACAAUAACCAUCUAAGUAAUGUUUACAGAUGGUUUAAAAAACAAAUACCAUUUACAAAGUGCUACUGACACAUUUUAAUCUCAAUGUUUUAUAACCAAUAUUUAAACCCUGUAUAAACCUUUUAAUAAAUAGUCCAUUAAUAAUUAAUGAAAAUUAGUAAUCAUAAUUCCAUUGCUUGUUAAUGGUAAAAUAACUUAACUUACAUUAAUAAACUAUCUAUUUACCGUUUAUAAAUGAUGGUUAUUGUGAAGUGUUACGUCAGAAGGUGAGUUAUCUGCAUAAUCAAAAAUGAGAAAUGCUCUUUCAUUAAAAAACACAUUUGAAUAAUGUUCUUAAACAACUCUUUUUUUUUUUUUUCAUUUUUACUUAUUGUACAUGUUGAACUGACAUCAAUGUUUUUAAUUGUAAAAGAAUCUAUUUUCACUUUUGGUCUUUGGUCUUAAAUAAGUCUUAAAUAUAAUUUCUUCAUACCUGUAGUCACCCUGUUUAAUGAAAAGCAUAAAAACCUAAAUCAGACAGCUCCUCACACUCUUUACUCCUGAAAAUUCUGCUUUUGUGGAGAAAUAUGGUAGAGUUGAACUUCUUCUGAAGAAAACUGUUUUUUCCCACAUUACUACAAGUAAUUUAAGUGUUACUGUUAAUUAUUAGCUUUGCACACUGACAGAGAUUACAACCAGCUGUGUGUUUUAUGCAGUCUACGAUAUAUAAGAGCUUAAAUUUUCAUCUCCAAGAAAGUGAUUUCCUCCACAUCUUUGGCCCAAUCCACCACUUGCUCCACGCUAUUUGAAAACGCUUACUCUUCAGUGGGUGUACUCACAAAAAUAUUGUCAGUACAUUUAAAUCACUGUUGAAAAAUAAACUGUUUUGUCUGAAACAACCUGGCUGUCCUGGAAAAUGAAGUGGAAACAAGUUGAGAGAAGUUAUCAGUUGUCAUUAAGUCAACAAGGCAGCGUGUCAAACAAUCCCCCAGGGUUCCUAGUCGAGCUUCAAACCCCUGCAAGAAUUAAACCAUUUUUUAAAUUAGCCCCGUUCAGAAAUACUCUAAAUCUGUCAUGCUCUAACGUGGUGUCACAUUCCCCGAGAUUACCAUCAUUACAGUAAUUAAUGCUUUAAUUUCUGGGUAUGUUUUGAAAUGAGACCCAAAGUGCUGUGAUUUUAAUGUAAUAUGGGACUAAUGUGGUGUGGAGCAUUGGGUAAUCUGGCUCCCGCGUGCCUUGGAUCUGGUGAACGAGUUUUAUCUGCUGAAAGACGGUUCAAACGCGGAGCUACAGGCAGUCAGGAGGAGUAGAGACAUACACUUUGAAACCUUUUAAGGGAUUUUUUUUUUCUGUUUUAAAGUGGAAAAAAUAUACAUGAGAUUUGAUAAUGAACUAAGUUGAAGAUGAUGAAAAAUAUAGCUUUUACACCAGAAAGAUGUCACUAAUUUUGAGUUUUAUUUUAGUGCUCAAAGUAACGUAGAUUUCAUCCGGUCCGGUUUUCUGUUACUAAUUUCACCUCACAGAAGCAAAAUGGAAAAAAAUAAUAGAAUAAAAGAAUAUGCAGAUUUCAUAACCUGUUAUUUCUCUUUCUCUCCCAAAUGAACUGACUGACCUCUGAAUGAAUAAAAUGAAUAAGCUUUCUUCUUGUCACCAACAGAUGAAUCGCUAACUGGGUUACAGUUUCACAUAAAUGACUUAAUGGGCUACACGUUCUGUGAGCUCCACCUGGCCUUUCUGUGCCCUCAUCCAGAGUGUCUAAUACAUCCAGUUCAUUCAAACACUGUUAGUCAUAAUGAAUAUUGCCAGUCGAAAGGGUUCCUAUUGAAAUAUACUAUUAACAAUCGAGGACAGAUGAAUAACCCUCUGUCUCAUUCCCUGAUGGAAAUGUAGUCUUUUGUCUGAGGUGGUUUGGGUCUUGUUUUGGGUCUUUGUGUGGCUCUGAUCUAUUCCUCUCUCUGUUGUUCUGCACAAUAACAACUCUGUACUACACCUAUUCCCUUCAAGUCUGUCCUAAUUCUCUGCGUGGUCAACAGGAUGGACGGAUGGGUCAUCUUAGGGGACAUGAUAACUGAUCCAUUAUUUCUUUCUUUUCACUAUACUGAAACGUACUUAAGUUAAAUUUAGACAUAAAAACAUAUUGACAAGCAUUUUGAUGCUAUACGUAGUGGUAAAAAGGAGACUGGAGCCUCUUUCAUGCCAACUCGGCCCUCUGUAAGCAUAAGGCGCUAUGAAUCUGAGGCUGAGCUGGUCAGAACAAGGAGUGGUUUGGCAGUGUUUUAACCUGGAAAAUGGGAAAAAGCUGUGUCUGGUUAACCUUGUGAAGCACAGGUAUGCAGACAUAAAUCUGCAAAAAAGUCCAAAAAUUGGCGGUGCUAGCUCUGCUAAAUUAAGCCACACUCAGCGAAUCCAAUUCGACAUGGUUUCCCUGAAGACUCUUUGAUUUCUUGUUUCAUCCGUGUUUUCUAAAUUGUGCCUAAUUUUGUGUAAUUAUACAGAAACGUAUUGCAUUCACUUUAAAAAAGAAAGAAAGCUCUAUUUUGUUUUCUGCUUUUCUGACAAAUUUUUUCCCUCUGUUUUUCUGACAAUUUUUUUUCAGACUCAACAAAAAUCCUGUGAGAAUCUUCUAUUUGCAUAAAACAUUAACCUCCCCCUCCUAAUUGGCAGGUUCUCCAGCUCCUAGAUAAUUUCGAAGCUGCCUGUGCAAAGUCGACAAACUAAAGACCAUACCAUCCAUAUGACUUUAAGAAAGGAGAAUCUCACAGUAUCUCUAACCCAAAACAAAAUAAAACUGGAUUAAACUAAACAAGUGGGCCAUGUUUGCUUCCAUCGAAUAGAGCUUUUGUGAGUUUUUUGUUUUUUUAGUGAUCAUAAUCUUAGAGAAAAGAAAAAAAUAGUCCAAAAACAGAAAAAAAUAAUCCAAAAAACAGAAAAAAGUCCAUAUAACAGAAACAAAAUUGUCCAAAAACGGAAAAAGGUACAAAAAAAAAAGAAAAAAAUUAGUCCAAAGAACAGAAAAAAUUGGUCCAAACACAUAAAAAAAUAGUCCAAAAAUCAGAAAAAAAGUUCCAAAAAACAGAAAAAAUGAGUCCAAAAAACAGACAAAAAAAUUAGUCCAAAAACAGAAAAAAAAUUAGUCCGAAAGCAGAAAAAAAUAGUCCGAAAAUACAGAAAAAAGUUCCAAAAACAGAAAAAAAUUAGGCCAAAAACAGAAAAAAUAGUCUGAAAAAAAAAUCAGUUCCAAAAACAGAAAAAAAAAUUCAGAAUAACAGAAAAAGAAGAUUCAUCUGAAAAACAGGAAAAACCUGGUCUGGAAACGAACAAACAAACAAAAAAAAUCCCGAAAACAGGAAAGAAAAAAAUUUAUCCAAAACCUUUUUUUUUUUUGGUUGAAUGCAAUAUGCUUCCGUAUAAUUGUGUAAAAUAUGAAUUUGGUGACAUAGUUGAGAAAUGCACCGACAUCUCCCCUUUACAACCUGCCACACGCACAGAUCCACAGACCUGUCUGUGUGCGUUGAUGUGGAGACUUAUAUGACUCCAUAAAGCCAAGGUGUGAAGUAAUAACUGAAGCUGUUAACAAGGUGACACCCCCCUCUUCCUCCACUUACACAACCACACACAAUCACACUCACACGGGUGCAGCAGCUGUCUGUGAAGCAUCUUUUAUAGAGUACAUAUAUGUGUUUUCUCAUAAGUAUUGUUUACUUGAGUGGACUGGACACAUGCUGAGCAAAUGCUUGUUUGAGCCGUUGAAUGUGUCCUUGUGUGUGUGUGUGUGUGUGUGUCUGCCUGUGUAAUAAACAACUGUUUACACCCAUCAGGAAUUUCCUGUGCUUAACUAGGGCUGUCAAACCCUGUGUGUUGUUUUGUGUGGAUUUGUCUACAUGUGUGUUGCUGCUGUGCUAAAGGCGGCGAUGGUGGGGUUCCAGUCUAGUAGCUCUGCACUACAGAGCAAACUUUGUAUUAAUAGCUGCGAGAUGCCAAACAAGAACAGCGGGCCUGUUGUUUUAUGUGUGUAGUAAAUGUGUUUUUUUAAUGGAUAGACAGAACUCCAUGUUGAAAGCCAUGAGUUUUUCUUAUUUAUGGUAGUUUUUUUUUUCUCUGCAUGUGUUUGUUUUGUCUUCAGAUUGCUGGUUUUUCAAGGAGUCACAUGAAACUAUAUCUGUGUAUGUUUUUUCUAAAACCCCGACACCCCCUGUUAGAACUGUGUUAUGUCAGUGCACUGGAGUGGAUAAUGAAGAUGAGGGUGGUGUUUACGCUGAUGGUACUCGUCAGCUGUUGCCGAUCAAAAACUUGUAGGAGUUGAAUUGUUCUGACCUACAGGUGCUGGUUAUAUUCUGAAGAUGUUAGAUAGUGAACACACCCCAUAAGAAGCACAAAGCCUGCUCAUAUACGAUCCCUGACAGGUUCUUUCUAUGUCAUGGAACUGUACUGCAGUGUGGUAGAUAUGCAGCCAUAAACAUUUCAUUAUUUUUCUGGUAAAUUAAUCCCAUUCAGAUGAUUCAGGACAUGGUAAUCUUUUGUUGUUUUCAUUUUUUUAUUGUUUACGGCGAAGCGAGCUGGGUGAAGGGCGGGCUGUUUCUGCUGAGGAAUUUGUGGCUUCAGCGGGAGGUGUGUGUGUGUGUGCUGAUUUUAAACCAUCCCCCUGCUUAGUACCCUUGGAUGACACAGCUCAGUGAAGCAUCUCGCUCAUUAUCAUCACACACACACACUCGUACACAUAGACUAACAGCUACUGUGUGCUUUACCGUCUCCCAUGAGAAAAAAACCUCUGUGCAAACAAGCAGUGUAACCUCUCCGACCCCUCCGACCAGCUGGUGGCUCAGUCAUCAGAAACAACUGUCAUGAAAACAAGUGUUGAUUUCUCCUGCACUUCAUCGAGCACUAACUUAUUGAUACCACCACAUACAAUAAGUGGCUAAUGGUAGCUAAAUAAUAAUGUGGCUGUUUCCACCUUUCAGACAUGUUUAUUCUACUAUUAUGGUUAACACGUGGUCUUUGGUAGCUGUCAGUUUUCAGUGUCUAGACUUGACAGUAACAGUGUUUGAACUGAUUGAAAUACUGUUGCUUAAACUUGGCUCCUCUUCAUGUUUCUAUUUUUGAUGUGGAUGUCAGGUGAUGUUAGGGCGGGGCGAUAUGGCCUCAAAUCAAUAUCACGAUAUAUUGAGCAGUUCACCUCGAUAACCAUAAAUGGGCAAUAACUACUCCACAAGCUGCUCAUUCCCUCCCACAUUAACUUCGUCUACUUCAGCUGCUCCAACUUUUGAACUGUCCUCCAUCUUCUCACCUGUCUUUCCCUCUUUGUUACGGACUGGAUGAGGUGGAGUCACGUCUCCGACAUAGGACAGCGUCUUAAAGGGACAUGAGACCAUAGCCUACCUACACACAUCCAAAACCAACUUUAAUUUAUUUUUUGUGACUGAAUAUAUUGACAUGGGCAAAAUGACGUCGGUUAUUAUUGUAAAUUUUCGGUUUAUCGCCCAGCCCUAGAUGAUGUAAAUGUGUCUCAAUCUAAAUAAACUGACCAUUAACAAGCCUGUGCCGCAGUCAAAUGCGCUCUCUAGGCCUCAGUUAUGGUCAUCUGACUAAUAAUGUAGGACAACACUGAUGCUUAAUUGAUACUUACUUUUCAAAAGGAAAUGGGUUUUAGAUUUCUCACUGGAAAAAUCUGGCAAAAAAACUGAUGAGUAGCUGCCAAAAAGUUAUGCAAUGAUAGUCUUAAGGUAUUUUGUAAAGCACACAAUAGAAAACAACAAAAACUAGGGCUGUUGUAUUUAUGUGUGUAUGAAGUAUAGAGCAGCAUGAAACUACCUCUCAAAAAUUCUGGACUGUAAAAAAAUGUACUCUCCAGUGCUGAAAAACUUUUCUAAUCCAUAUAAACAGACAUUUGCUCUGUAUUGAGAAAUAAUGGCAACCCAUGAGCCAAUCAGAAACAAGAAUUACCAACCUAUAAAGUAUUAGACUCAAAACAUCCGCCUUAAACACUUCUGGUGGAAGACGCCUCAGUUUUUUUAAAAAUUUUUGAGGUAUUUUGUGGUUUACAGGAGCCCGUAGGCAUUUUAAAGACGGAGAAUAAACUCUGUUGGGCUGUCGAGAGAAAGUGGUAGUUUCUUUGUGAGGAAAAUUGCCAAAAACUGUCAUUGUUAAAGAGCUCACUUUGGGUCAUCACAACAGUCUCUUUUUUCUCUUUUUUUUUCUAAAUUCUCACCCAUUCCCGCAUGCAUAAGAACACACUUGCAUGCACAUGCACACACACAUACACACACACUCACUCGCUGGUACAGACCUGAUUAAUGGUACCUAAUUAGCAAUGGUAAUGACCAGGUGUCUGAGAACCAGCCAGCUUCUUCCAGCACGAGGGGCCAAGAGGGGGGUGUUCCCGGGGCUCCCGGUUCCCAGAAAAUUUUUCCUCACUAACUGUCACUCCCUCACCCCUUGUCUCAUUCUCCUUCUGAAGAGAAACACACACUCAUAUGCACACACACACAAACACACACACACACACACACACACACACACAACCAAAGGCCAAGAUCAAUUAAGGAUUUGGGCAACUAGGAUGGGAACUGAGUUGGACCGUGCUGAUGGUGGGGGAAGGAAAGAAUUGUUGGUGUCCGUGUGUAUGUGUGGGUUUCGGGGUGGCGAGGUGGAAGCGUAAUCAUGGAGGGAACUUUCCGGGAUUUCAUUUUUUCGUUACGUCAGUAAAAAAUGUCCUUGCGGAUAAAUCUUAAAUCCUUGCAGCAACGUUUUAUCAUUGAGCUAAAUCGAUUUCAAUACAAUCCAGACAAUAACUGUAUCAUCAUGUUGUUCCAAAAUAUUCAUAAAUGCUGUAAAAAAGAAUUUGGCGAGCUGGCAAAAAAAUGGGAAUCUUUAUAAAAUAUAAGUAUUAACUAGGGACAAAUUUGACUGACAUAUAACUGACAAAUUUUCUGGCUGACUAAACCAAAAUUGAAAUUCUGACUGUCAAGCCCAUUACAGACUGCAGCUACCAUUAGUAGAGCUAGCAACACCAGCUGGACAACCCUGUGUGGUUCAGACUUAAUAUGAUCAGUUCAGACACACUAACAGCAAAGAUAUUACAACAAGUCACAAAAAGUUGCAACUAGCUUUUACUGUUUCUUGAUGCGUUUUUUAACCAUUAUAAUCACGAGAAAGAUGCCUGUCUGUUUGUGUCAUCUUCAUCCUGCAAUACUCUGAGUGUGUUAGUGAGGGGAGGUGGGGCAGAAACAAAAGUGUUCUUAAAUGGAAGCAGGAAUGUGAAAAACAAGAACCUGCAUAGUUGAGAGUGAUUUUUAAAGAGAGUGAUGUAUCAAACAUUAUUGAUUUAGCCCUCGUUUGUUAGAUAAGGAUUUUUUGUGGCUUAGGAAGAAGUAGAAAAAUGAUAUCAAUAUCGCUGUCUUGCAUGUUCAAAAAAUAAAAAUGAUAAUAAUCUUAAGGGCAUCAUGAACAAACUAGUGAUUGAACACAGUAGUUUCCAAAGUCUGCAGUUCAAUUCAGUUCAUGUCUUUUCUUAAAUUCCUCUCAGUCCUAAACUUUCUUCGCUUAAAAACACUCAGAAGUUUCAAUAAACAAAUACACACAGGCAAGUUAACUAGGCACACACACACACAUACACACACACACAUUUGUGGACAGACACACACACCUUCACACUGAAAGACCUCCUGCUGUGUAGGAUUUGGUGAUAACCAGUGUUAGGUAGACAGGUGAGAGGGUCAGAUGGCAGCAGUGGGAAAAGCUGUUAUCAACCAACCCUGUUCCCACACACACACACACACACACACACACACACACACACACACACACACACACACGCGUUUAUCACCCUUUCCCGUUCCCACACACUCACCUUACAUCAUUACCUGGCUGCAGGAGCUGAUCAGCCAAUAGCAGCUCGUGGUUGCAGUCAGGUGACCAGAUCAGGAAACUUUAGCAGGGGGAUGUAGUUACACUCACCCCUGCUCUGAUAACAGCUCUGUGUCUAUCCCACUCACCCCCCUCUCUCUCUCUCUCUUCCCUUUUCCCUGCUCUGCAAUUUACAGAUCCAGUUUCACCUUUGCUUUCAUGCUAAGCUGUCGGAUCCCAAAGCUGGGUGAAUCUGUGUUUGUGUUUGUGUUUGUGUGUGUGUUCAAGUGUGUGUUUGCGGUUCUCAGGUUAAACACUUUGACAGGUUGGAACGACCCGCUCGUUUUACUAAACUAACAGGUGAAACUUUUCCAAUGCAGAAAACUGUUGCGUGUUCAUCAAUCUCUGUAAGACGGUCUGCAGAGAUUGCAAAGUUUUUGUUGAAAAACAGUUCAAUGUCAUGUGCCACUUGGAACAAUAAGGCAAGAAAAUUUUUUAACAUAUGAAGGUAAAAAGAGGCUCUAACAGGAAAUUAAAAGGAAAGAGGAGGGGUUUAGAGUGUGACCUUUACUUCAGGUUAAAGCUUAAAAACUGUCUUCAUUUUCAGAGACGCAUUCAAGAGACGCUUUUUUUCUCUUCUUACUUAAUUAAUUUGUCUGACUGUGCCAGGUCUCAGCGAUAAUUUCAUUUUACAGACAUCCACUCUUUGUUCUAAAGAAACACAGAGACCACCUUUGGGCUCAUCUGUUGACUGAGCACAGUGACUGUGUGGCUGCCUUAUUCUCCUCGCAAUGUGAUUUUUUUUUGGCAUAGCAUUUGUUAAAUUUCCUCAAGUGUCGACAGGAUGGAAGAUGUAAAUAUUAGGAUUAUCAAGAGAAGAGAUUUGAUUUUUUUUUAAUCUAGUGUGAGAAAGUUUAAAGGUUUCCAGCAGCCGAGGACCAGUUAGCACUAGAGGGAGACAGAGAAUGAGACUAAGAGGGGACCGGCCUUAAGCCUUGAUUACAUAGAAGAUAAUUGUAUAUUAUAGAUAUAAAAUGUGACACAGUGCUGGAUUUAAGUACACCUGCAUUAUCAGUUCAAAUUCAAUGCUCAAAAGUCACCAGUUUGUGCACAGAUAUUAAUAUUUCACAUCUUAGGCUCUACAUAUUAUAAAAUUUUUCCAAUUUUUUUGGAGCUGAUAACCCCCAUCCAUUCAAGAGUAUUCAUGAUCCAUGUGAAUCGCCUCUUUACUGUAAAUUUGAGUUAAUUUUGGCGCCCCCUGUGGACAAAACAGUCUCUGCUCAUUUAGUCCCCUUAAUGCUGAAGAAAGGACUGUCAGACUUGGGAGUAUUUCAUGUGGAAAUUAUGAAAGCAGGUUCAGGCUGUAAAAAUAAUUGUAGUCAGUUUUGUUUCUGAUUGUUUCGUUAGAUUUUGGAUAUCAUGAAAAAGCAGGACCCUAUUUGCACAAACCCAACAAGAGACAUGGAAUACAAUGCAGCUCAAUACUGGAGUCUUUGAGUAUGAGGCGAAAAGCGUUAAAAUUGUCACUGGAGUCACAAGCAGGUUGUAGAGAGACUUAAUCGGGCCCAGAUUCGGCCAGUCGCACAUCCCUGAUGAUGGCUGACAACGGGGGAUGCUGCUGCUGCUGCUCGCUCCCUCUCGGCAUCGCAGGUAAACUCAAUAACGUGGAAUUUUAUCGACAUUUCAGUAUUAUCCUGAUAUCAUAUCACCUGGUAAUGAUGCACAUGCCGUUUUUUAAUGCCUUUUGCUUGUACCCAAGGACUGGAGUUCGUAUGCAUAGAAAUCAGAUUCAUAUUAGUGACUGCUUGAAGCCGUAGCUUUUAGAUUCAUACUUGCAUAAAAACACUUAUGACUCAUAUAGAAAAUAAUUUUUUGAAAUACAAAGCUUUUAUUUAUGCACAAAGUUUUCAAACACGGAUAAAAAGUGUCAAAGUUAAGCAUGCAGACUUUUGACAGUGAUGGUACUCCAUUGACUUUUAGAUCUUCCUACUAUUUUUGAAGAAGCACACAUUUAAUUGUAAAAAUAUACAAACAACCAUUUAUUGAGCUGCAUUUCAAAUGGAAAAAAAAAGUUUUUUAUGGAUAAAAAUAGGAUUAUGUCUUGGAAAAGAUGACGGUUUCAAAAGCCUCUUUAGCUACUUUACAAUCACAAACUCACUGAGAAACAAUCUUUGAUGCGCACACAGCCCAACAAAACAUUUGUGAAAAGAUAAGUGCUGUUAUAAGUAAAUGAAAUGAACCAAUCAAUAGACAGGCAGAAAUUAAAUGUCUCUGCUGUAAAAUAAGAAACAAUCUCAAACAUAAAAGUCAUUUAUUAUUGGUAUUUUAACAUUUUUAUUGAGUUUAUUCAAUCAGGAACACUCAUCAUCAAUGUUUUAGCAGUAUGUGUCAGUGUAAUAUGCCUUUAUUAGCACAGUAGCCUAAUUUCCCCAAUGCAGGUACUUCCCUUAAAUAAAAUGAAAUAAUACUGAACUAUCACUAAUUUUGGCACUUCUAAAACUUUUUCAGCCUACAUUAAAAAGGGAAAGGAGUGUUGGAGAGAGAGCAUAGAUAAGUUCAGUCAAGUUAGGGGAGUAUUCAAACAUUAGCAAACAAACAAAAAACAUAAUUUGGUUAAAUUUUGAUUCAAUCCAAAGUCUCUGUCCUGAUCCUAACAUCUGUAACCUAAUCUCAAUCCAUAUCCAGGUUUCUCAGGUCCUCAGAGGUGCAGGCUGCGGUGCUGAGAGAUUAGUCAGACAGGUGAAGGUUAUGGUUCAGUGCUGUGAUCUGCUGACAGUGAGUGACAAGACCUCUCUCCUGUCUCCUUAUGUGUAACAAGAACCUCUGUACCUGAGCCUAGACCUGACCUGUGUGACCUCUGACCCUACCUGCCAGGUCAUUCUCAUGCCACCCUGACCCUGCUAUGAAACUAGAGAGCACCACGGGAGGGAGGAAGCAGGACAGCAUCAAACGGGAGUGACGAAUGUGUUAUUAUCAUUCUUAUCAAAAAUUAAAGUCUCAGUGUCAAAAAAAAACAUUUGCUGUUUACAAAUUCAGACUUUUUGUCAUGAAAGUGUAGAAACAAACUUUUUAAGCACUUUUUAAUAAGAACUUCACAACAAUAUUCAAUAUACCAGAAACUUGUCCCUGAAUAUUUAAGGUUUUUUUUUAAUCUGUUUUAUACACUUUUACACUGUCAAUCAGGAAAUUGGAUGCUGUUUUUUGCCAUUUGGAAGCCAAAUAAAUAAAAUAAUACAUAAAAAAAAACCUUGACAAUAAUAAACUUAAAAUUAUACCUCUCUGUUCAUGCCUUGGAUAAAUACUGAAUGCUACAGAUAAUCAUAAGAUUAAGGCCCCGUUUAUACGUACCCGGUUAUUUUUAAAAACAGAGACAUUAACCAUUGUUUGCACGGUGCACCCUUUGUUCAGAUGCAAUUGGAGAAUUCAUCCCUAAAAACGAUGCUUUUUUAAAACUCUGGAAAACUCUGUUUGCAUGUAAACAGAGAAAAGCGGAGGUAAUGCUCAUAUGCUGGUGCAAUCCGUUUAUAUAUAUUUGCAUUUGCAUCUUUUCCAAAAGAAGGAAAUGACGUUGUUGUUACCAUAGACAUAAUACAUGUAGACGCCUCAAAGCCUAACGCUGCCUACUGGUGCUCACGUAUCAGCGCGGCCGCCAUCUUGGAUGGGUACCCCAUGCGCCUCCAGUGCAUUAAGGUAGGUAGGAAUGCCCAACCAUAUUAAUCAUAACUCUCCAAAUCUCUGCCCGAUUUUCUCACUGUUUGGUUUGUUAUAAUGGCAAGGAUGUAGCUAUAAUACAGGACAAUGUCGCACAUUAAAAAUAAACCAAAUUAUUUUUCAAUCUUAUGUGUGAAAUGUCAUCCUAUGUGAUCUAGUUUCAAUACUGCCUCCAUGGAGUGCAAAAAAAAAUGGGCAUAGUUACUCGUUCUCCAUUGACCCCAGUGUGGGGAGACCCAUCCAAUAUGGCGGUGACGGUGGAUUACACUCCAGCACGUAAUGAGGCGUCUACGUGUAUAAUGUCUAUGGUUGUUACUGCUAUGCUGGAUUCUGAUUGGCUAACAUGGGCUUCUUGCUACACUGCCACCUACAGGUUUGGCACACUCUUGACGGCAUAUACACACAAGUUAGUAUAAAUGAAACCUUUUCUGAAAAUGUAGUGGUGUCGGAACGGAGAGGGUGAAAUGUCCGUUUAUGAAAAUAGCCGGGCAUAUGUAAACAUAGUCUUAAAACCCCACAAAAUCCUGACAGGGUCAUUAUCUUUAAAUUGGAGGGACUAGAAGUGGUUGAGCUUUCAUGCUGUGUUGAGAGGACAGGACAAUGGACAGAGAGUAGAAAUAUGGGGUGAGAGAAAGAGAGAGGACCAUGGGUUGGACUCAAACAAGGCUGCCAACAGACGUCACAUGGAGUUCCCUGAUUCAACUAGGAGGCCAAACUGGUGCCCCAAACUUUCAUUUAGGAACCAGAGUUAAAGUUACAAUGUGCUUCUUUUAUGUGAGAGAAGGAGUUUACAAAUCACACAAACAGCUCGAUUCUAAACUGACAGAAAACAUCCGCACUUGGACAAGAUGCAAACUGCAUACUUAGAGCAUCAGGGUAGAAGGUUACAUUGAAAACCUUCCUGUGCGAUGCAACAGCACCAACCAUUGACCCUGUCCUGCAUCACAAUAUUACAAUCUCAUAAAAUUGACUGGCCAGAGGAGCAGAUGUGCACUGUGUCGUCUGCCGGCUUGACAUCCAUCUGUGGACAGUUUGGUGUUGAGAACUGGUUUAUCCACAAGUUUAUGUGUAAGAGACAGUUAUUAUCAUUUCUCUUCUGCAUGUAAGGCACAACACUUGACUUAAUUGACUACCAAGACCUCCGCAUUGGCAAAAACAUUCCAGACGAUGAAGGUCUCCUAUCCCAGGUGUUUUUCUAAGUAGCUGCAUGGCACUGAAUGUACAUUGUCACCUUGAGGCGCACUGAAGCAGCCCUGGAGGAUGGAGGAUCUGCAUCUUGGAAUUGUAGGAGGCCCAAGGUCACCUGUGAGAGCUGUCGAAUCUGUCCUUGUAUGUGUGUGUGUGUGUGUGUGUGUGUGUGUGUGGGAGGGAGAAAGUAGUGUCUGUCAAGGCUCCUCUCUGCCUGUCCCUGCAGCUUAAUUAAAAAUGACAGAGGGUUUUCUUCCUUGUCAUUCGUGAGCAUUUCGAUUUGACAUACUUAUUGUCUGGAGUCUUAUUCUCUCUAUAACUAAAUGUUUCACAUCACCAAACUUCAACACCAAAAUGUUGAAUCAGGUCCAAGCAAAUCUGGGUAAUGUGACUCUAAACCAGAUUAAAAUUGAGAACACAUAGAGCACUGUCCAGUCUCACUUUGUCCUGGGAUUUAAUCCCAUCCCACAGGGUCCUAAAGUGGGACAGGAAUAAGAUGAGACGAUCGCUGAUAUUACAAAGCUCUAAGAUCUUUCUUUUGAUUUUCCUGGCAGGACUCAUGAGCUUCCAGAAAAAGUGAUCUUUUAUUGUUUUUCCCUGUGUCCUUCUAGUGGUCAGCUUUAUUCUUUUUCAUUCUCCUGGGGUUGGGUGGAGGAUACCUCCUCUCUUCUCUGGUCCUCCAUUGAAAAAAACGCAAGACUUUCCCUCCUUGUACCUCCAAACUGAGGUCUCUGCGUGAUGGAACAGUCCCCCUGUGUAGCGUUUAUGUCAAGAUCUGCAAAUUGAAAGUCUUGGUUUUGGUUUGGGUUUAGAUGAAGCAACCCAAAAAUAAAGUUAUAAAAACAACAUCAAACAUAAGCGGUGUGAAGAAACAUAAAACCGCGCUUCCAGUGAGAUAAUAAACAUGGCUUGUUAGCUAAAAAACGUUUCUCAAUAUGCCAGUUUGAUUCAGCACUCUUUUAAGAGCGGUAUUAUUCUCAAGGUUCAUUUCAAGGAAUUUCCAUACUUUUCCAUACCCUACUUGGUAGAAUUAUUUUUUUGAAAUACCUACUUUUCUAUUGUAGAAAACAGUAUCUUAGAAUUGUGGUAAUAGUCUGCAAACAUAGAUAUUUUUCCAUACUUUAUUUUUCAUUUUCCAUACUUGCGUAGGAACCCUGUAAUCUCACGUUUAGGCUUUAUAUUGUCCUUCUUGUACAAAAUUUACAAUCCCAGAAAGUUAUUAUCCCUGGUUGGUGUCUUUGUUACCUUCAUUUCAGCCUGGUUCGCUCGUUUUUAGUUACUGUCUCCUUACGUCUUGCCAUGCCACUCCACAACCCAGGAUUUCAGAAGCCUCCUCCACUGUUGCCAUGCUAGAAUGUUGCUGUCAUUGAGCUAACCGGUGAUUCUCUGUUUAGAGUAAAAUAGGGUCUAAAUCUGAUCCAAAAAGUUCUUCAAGAGACAAAAAAAAUAAACAAAUAGGGUUAGUCGUUAGUCGAGUAAAUUUGUGUGGUUGUGUUUGGCUCCAUCAGAUCACGACUCCUCUUGUUUGUAUCAUGUUAACCUGGCUGUUGUGUUGUUGUUGUGUUGUGUUGUUGUUGUUCUUAGCAGCUUCUAUGGAUGAAAGUAAGAAUGUCCAGGAGUGAAUUAGGACUGUUUGUUUAAUUUAAAUCAGAUGUUUCUCUUUUGUUUGUGUGUAUUUCAGAUUGAAUCAUUGCUGUAGCCGUUAUAAGAACUUCCCUCUGGGCGUUGUGUUUUGUCCUUGUGCCCCUGGGCUUUCUGUCCCACUGACCUCGGAGAAACAACAACUUGAUAUUAACAUGACUGCUUCCGCUUUCUCCCUCUUUCCCUCCUUCUCUCUCUCUCUCUCUCUCUCUCUCUCGUACCUGGUUUCUGUGCUGGUGCAGUCCUGCUUUUGUCUCUCUGUAACUAAUAUGACACAUAAAAGGCCUUUGACAAUAGGACUGGUGCUAACUGCGAAUCAGGCUUCACCUGAUACUGAGGCUUUACUCAGGAGCCUCAGGGUGUGUACGCGCUGCGUGGGAGGAGGCAGGAAGAAGGAGGAGGCGGCGGCGGAGGAGGAGAAAACCGCAGCUUAUUUAUCUUUUUCAUGUGGUUUUCUCUCUUUUUAAGAAGCUAUCAGGCUUCCUCUUCAGCAGUUGUGUGAUUGUUAUUCUCUUCAGGUGGAGCUUUUGUCCGUCAGGAGGAAGAGUUUAAUACUCAGACCCCUGGGAUUAAUAAUAGGUUUGACCUCGCUGAUAAACCCGUGUGUGUGCGUCGUUGGACUCUGUGUGUGUAAAAGUGUUUGUGCGCGUCUCUUCUCCUCUUUAGGUUGAUAGUGUGUGUAAUAAGUUGUUUUACAGAUAAUACCAAUUGUCUUUGAAUGUAGCAGUGCUGUGAUAAGCUGCCAAACACGAUCAGGCUGCGUGACUCUAAUUGUUCUGCUUGACUCGUCCUGCUACACAUUAAUAUUAUCAUUAAGCUUUGAUAUUGUUAAGUGGGCACCCUGUAGGCUCGGGGUAAAACAGAUAGUGCUUUAUGUUCGUCAAAUAAGUAGCUACAAUAACCCUCGUGGUUCAGCUUUCAGUCCACAGAUUAAAAAAGGUGGAGGUCAGGAAAGGUAAGAAAGAGGUCUGAAACAUAAAAAACAUUUAGAUUUGUGUUUAAAAAUGAAAAAAUAAUGUGAUUUAAAGAUAUUACACAAACUGAACUCAGCACAACAUAAAAACUGGACCCCAAUGUGCUUGAAAUCAAUGACAGAAUAAGAGAGGGUCCAGAGGAGCCUAAACAAAAUGUCUAAAAUGUUCAUGUCAAACAAUGUUUCGUAUCUGUCUAAAUGACGAUAGAAAUAGUUAAAGAAACAGUUAAAGUGCCCACUGCUUUUUCUUUCUUUUUUUUUCCGUAGUUCUUUAUCUUACUUGUUUUUUGUACCUAGUAUGAAUGUGUAUGUUGUGUGUACUGCUGCUGUUAACAACUUAAUUUCCCCAUUGAGGGAUGAAUAAAGGAAAAUCUAAUCUAAUGUAAUCUAAUCUAACAAGCAUGCAAGGCCAAUAGAUGGUAAUAAUAUGCUACCAACUGUAAACAGCUUUCUUCAAGCUGUGGAUUAAGUAUUCAGUUAAAAACUAUUUAACAUUUUGUGGUUAAAUGUUUAACAACAAGGUUCCUUGUUAACAUACAGUCAUACCUAACAGCACUGAGCAGACGUAAACAGACAGUAGCUCAUCGUCUUGGAACAUGUGCAAGACAAAUAAACCAGAGAGGUCAGUAUUUCCUGAAACUUUUGUGCUGAAGAUAGAUUAAUUGAUUGGUCGGGCACAAUGAUGUCAUUUGGAAUUGAUCGGUCGAUAUCCGGGCUAACGAGGACUUAUGUCUGCAGACACUGCAGGCAGCCUCGUCAGUGAAGCUGCUGACCAGCAAUGUCCACAUCUCUGUAAAUGACAGUAGAUCAAAUCUAACAGCUACUGACAAGUGAUUUGUAUGCUGUUAUGAUGUAUACAGUAACAGAGUUUCAAAUGCCUCUGGUAUAAAUAUUUCAUGUGUUUCUCUUUCACUCUGUUAAUUCAGAAUCUGUCGGAAACAUGUUUCUGGAUAAGAUCGCCAAAGACAAUCGAGUCGCUUGUAUUAUGCGUGGAAUAAUGGCUUUUAUUGUCAUUCUAUCGUUUGAUUGUAUAAAAUGCAGAAAAAAACCCUGAUUGGUCGAGCACUAUAGUGGUGUGAUUGGUUGGUUGGUUUCUGUCUUUUUGUUAUUUUUGGGCUUUUUCGUACAUUUAUUUUCAAGGAUAAGAAAGUAGAUAAAGCAGGAAAUUGGAAACUGCUAUCAUUAAGACGCUGUAUAUAAAUGUUAUACUUCUGAUGAAACGAGUCGGCGUAGGCGAUGGUCUGUUCCAGCAAACUUUCCUUCAGGAGGCAGAUCGGUAAACCAAAAGUCAGAGUUGACUUAUUUACUUAAUGUUCUUAUCCUGCAUCAACUAUUUAACAUAACUCUGCUUUAGAGAGACAUCACAACAUCCUAAACUGCUGUGAUGAAAGUCGGCCCUUCUUUUAAAGUUGGAGGGAUCACAAGUCAGUCAUGCUUCCAGAAAUAUUUUGGGCAUUCGUUUUCCCGCUGCUUACAGACUCACACGGACAUGUCUGACAAGUAACCAAAUAAAGUUUUGUUGGUGUUUGUCAGGACUCUAACCUUCGGGGAAACGUUAAUGAGGUGCCAAGAAAUAAGUCAUGGUGUUUCAAGUGCGUGCGCACACGCUUGUGUGUUUAGUUGACACUGAGGUGGAGCGCUGAAUCCUGUCCAACAGUGAUAAGGCUUUUGAUGACAGGGCUGCAUUAACCUACCUGACACACACUCACAAACACACACAUGUAGCGUGGUUAGGGAGGGACAGGGGUGUGUGAGAACACGCUUUAAGAAGCCUCAGCUCUCUGUGUGUGACACUAAAUCCCAUUCACGGCAACAAACACACUGACAGAGAGACAGGAGUGAGAUGAAGGCGGUUUAUUACACAUGAACAUGACAUAGAAGAGGAGGAGGGAGGAGACCCUGAAUUACUAAGACACGCACUCUUGGUUGUCAUCUCCUUACCGAGAAGCGGGAGAGAGGAGGGGAGAGCUUGUAGUGGAUGAUACUGUGAUAGCAGCUGGAGUGUGUCCCUCAACUGGGUCAGAAACAGUACAACCUGGUCUUUGCAUCGAACAUGAAAGUGGAUUUAACGUAAACUGUAAUUAAUUAUUUGAUGUGGCUGUCCCAAUAGACUAGAGUGGAGCUAGUCUGAGGUGGGGUACAAAACCAGCUCAUAAUCCUGCAUGGCAGCAACUUUAAAUCUCUUCAGAGGAAUGGCUGUCUCUAACUUUACACCAUGUUUCCAGCAGUAAGAGGCCCAGUGUAAGAAACUGGUCUUAUUCAUUCCUCCCAGUUGAGAGUUUUACCUUUGAUACUGUGUUCUUGAGCUCUGAAUUUAAGGGUGUUCAUUUUUUACAUCAAAGUCUAGUCAUCACAUUUUGCAAACGAAAACCACAAUAAAACCGGUGAUGAUCAAGUACACAUAAUUUAACCCCCACUGUGCAAACAUAGCCGACAAAUUAAUGCUUUUGAUUGAUUAUUUAAUUAAAAAAAUUGGAAAUUGAAAUUAGAGGCAGUUUUAAGUUACUCAUGAUGAUCCAUGAAUUUGAAAUUCUUCUACAACCCAAAUUGUACAAAGUCUCCAACUGAUAAAAAAUGGUGUUCCUCAGGGAUCAAAAACGGGUCUCAGGUUGUAAAAUAAUAAAGUUUUGUUCUUAAUCUCUGAAAAAAAAGUCAAGUGCUUAAUGAGGUUAUGAUAAUAAGAUAUGCCUAAUUCUGACUCUGACCAUCAUUCUCCAUAUGGUGCAGUAAUGAAAGCCCUCCUCACCCUCAAUCCUAUAUGGUCUGCAGCCAGACGUGCCUCAGGGUUUCUGCCCCUGUGUGUGUUUAUGUGUGAGUGGGUGUGGACAAGCAAUUACCUGUCUCAUUUUCCCCUCAUGACAAAGCUGAAGGCGAAAAACAAUUUCAGGGUUUUCUUCUCAGUUUUAUUUACUUAAAAAAAAUCAUUGAUUAUUUUAAAUAACUGUAAGAGACUGUAAACGACAAGACACAAUCCAGAAAGGAGAAGACUCAAAGCACCUCAGAAGUGAUAUAAAGUGGUUUUUUGUGGUUUAAAUCAACAUUAUUUUCAUAAAACUGGUACACUCUGUCCUUUAAAGUGUUGUUUUCAUGUGUGAUUGUUGCUCUCCAGCUGUAUGCUGCUCAGAGACAGACUGACAGGCAGCUGUAAGAGGCGACAGUUGUCAAACAAGCACCAGAAAAACUCCCUUCAUGCAUAAUUCAGCUGUAACGGUCUGAGCUGUCAUCAGGACAUGCAGGUAUCCCAUCGUUAGUCAACAUAACUGUCUGUAAUAUUAUCACUCUGAUCAUGUGUUACACAGCCAUCUGCUCUGAACAUGCGUGCGUUCAAGACACCUGCUUUCAAAAAGAGGCACGUCAGUGUGAAUUUUCACGUUAAGAAUCUGACCAGGGGAAAAUUUCUGUGAGGGAUGAUCUCAAACAGGCAGAGUUAGACCACACGUUAUAAACAGGAUUACACACAGAUCAGGGACGCUUCAUGACCUCCUGAAAAAUAGACCAGACUCUUUUUCUUCCUGCCCUCUUUAGUGUGUUUCAUCAUGUCCAACCAGUGUCCAUAUUAACGGACGGACAGAUCAUGUUGUCUUACUUUGACAUUACACCUGAAGAAAUACACGAGCAGGUUGGAAACUAAUCCAGUGAUGCCAAAAAGAUCUGACAAAACAAGAAUGACCCAGAAAGAGAGAGAGGGAACAGAGUCUUCUGACCUGAAAUCAGAAGGGCGUCAUGGUGGGCAACUGAAUAAGAAAUGGAAAAGCCGACAUGGAGGGUUUCAGGCGGAGAGGGGUUUUCUUUCAGCCGCUGCUUCAUGAUAUGUCGUGUUGUCAUGUUGUACUCUGUUACAGAGAUGAGCAGAAGUCAAGAUACUCUUAAAGAGUCAUACAUGAGAGAAAAGUUUUUUUUUAUAUUAUAUUUAAAAAUGUACGUAAUGUAAGUGGAAGAACACAAUAAGCUGUGGUUCAAGACCAACACAAUAGAAAUGAUCAUUUGUUUUUGCUAAACCUGCAUCUUUAUUUCUUUUUUUUUGGCGAUUUUUGCCUUUAUGGAUUGGACAGUGUGGAAAUAUGGGGAGAUAGAGAGGGAGGACAUGCACCACAUGGUCGGGGCCAGACUCGAAGCUGUGCCCGCUACUGGGAUCGUGGUCCCCACAUACAUGGGGCAUGCUUACCAGCUCGGCCAUCUGCGCGCCCCUAAACCUGCAUUUUUAACAGCUAUGCCUUCACUCCAGGCAUUUGCAUCACAAACAGUAAAGAUAUAAAAAUAAAGAGAGGAGAAAACUGUAGAGAGAGACUGAGAAAAAAGAGGGAUAACAGAAGAGGAGAGAGGCCAAGGUGGCCAAGAAACGCCACUGCUGCAAAUAAAAAAGAGUGCAAGAAAAGGAGUCUCAACGAAAGUUACUGAUACAAAAAAAAAGUAACCGAAGCCUGCUGCAAAUAAAAAAAAGAAACGAUGCAGAUAAAAAAAAAAAGAAAGGCACAACGGAAGUUAAUGACACAAAAAAAAAGUGAUAAUGGAAAAAAAAAAGUUACUGCGAAAAUAAAAGGAUGCAAAUAAAAAAAGGCCACAACGGAACUGAAGCUAACACUACACCGGCAUCCUUCAGUUCAACUUCAUAUCGACUCAGGUGCUUCAUGGUCGAACCAAAUGACACAUUGAAAAGUUUACGAAGCAAAAUUAAACAAUAACCUUUCCACUAACUUCUUUGCUCGUCUUCUCGCCGCCAUCUUCUGUGCUUGGAUCGUAAAACACCAGUGAGUCAUCAUUACUGGUCCCCAGCAGCUCACUUCAGUUGUGGCUUUUUUUUUUUUUUGCAUCCUUUUUAUUUUCACAGUAAGUAACUUUUUUUUUGCGUCACCUCUUUUUUUUGCUUCGUCAACUUCCGUUGUGGCUUUUUUAAAAUCUGCACUGUUGUCUUUUAUUUGCAGCUGGCUUCAUUUUUUUGUUUUUUUUCAUCGAUAACUUCCGUUCUUACUUUUUUUUUUUUGCAUUCUUUUUUAUUUGCAGCAGUGGUGGUUCUUGGCCACCGUAGUGAAAUCAUGGAAAGAAAAAAAAAGAAAAAAAGAUGCAACAGAGCAAGAAUAACAAACAGAGCAGCAGACCAUCCUUCAUCUACCAGACAGAGGCCUGAGACCACCAGAGACCUCUCUAGAGACUUACUAGUACACACACACACACACACACACACACACACACACACACACACACACAACACACACACUCAUUUCGAGGGUACCUGGGCUAAAGGCUGAGGGCCUCACCUACCUGCUUGGCACACAGACACCUGAAACUGCUUCAAAGGUGAGGUGAACCCCUCCCCCCUUCCUCUGCCUACACACACACACACACACACACACUGAAGCCUUAGGCUCAUAAUGCUGUUCCCUGUGUGACAAAAGUGUGACUGUCACUCCGGGUCAGAGGAAUGAGUAUAAAUUGGGUUUGCCCCCUCAGAAGAACUUGAUAAAAGCUUUCACAUUUCUAUAUAUUGUCAUAAUUCUUUAUCCUUUACAUUCACAAACCACCCUUAAAUGUUAAUUACUGUCUAUGAUCAAUCUUUGAGGGUGAUAAUGCUCAAGUAUUGAUUACUCGUAUAGAGAAACUUCAGUAUGGAUACGGUUUGCUGCCACUAACAAAAGGUGUGUGAUGAAGUAGCUCCUUCCUGUAACAACACACAUCAUAUUUUUACUUUAAAAGACACCAAACAAGUUUCUCUGUUAAUCAGUUGUGAUAGCAACAACAGGCAAACAAACAGAGCCAGCUGCAGAAACCUCAAACAGCAUCCAAGCCAGACUGUGACAACGCUAAACAGCGCGUUUGAUUUAUGUGAGAUCUUUUGGAAGUGCAGUAGCAGGGAAACGUAACCACAUCAACCGUGUGCCAACAGCGUCUAAACACACAGGAAGUCAUCGACUAUCCUUCAGAUUUAUUGCUCUUCCUCUGCGUCAUACGAUCUGUCAAUUUCAGGAAGCAGUUCAGCCCCUCUCUGCUGUUCUUCCCCUCGCUCUCUUUGUGCCAAUUCUUUGAUGUCAAUUUGACAAGCGGGAUUAGACCAAAACGCACUUCCCACCGCUGGUUUUAAUGAGACUAUCAUUCCUUAAGCAGAAACUGGAUCUAUAUUUGGUGUCUAAAAGGCUUGUGUGCUAUGUUAGUGCCACUUAUGUUAUAAGACUGUCAGACAGGCAGAGAGGAAGAGAGGGAGGAUAAGUGGUAGCAGUGUCCUGUAAUAAUAGUUAGUUGUAAUUGUGUUAAUCCUGCUGGAGCUUUGGUGGCUGUUAUGAUUUAUAGCACGGAUUAAAAUACAUGCCAAGGCUAAUUGAUCCCAGGAAUCCAUAGCAGUUUCAUCCUAUAGGGACCUGAGAGGGAGCUAGCACAUUAAAUACAUGGUUUCAAGUACAAAGACAUGAGCAGAAAUGUAUGUAGAUACCUCAAUACUACACCCGUUUGUGCUUGUUGGACAUCUCGUCAAUGAAUUUAACUCCUCUGGAUGAAACUUCGACUAGAUCUUACAGUCUGAUUGAUUACACCUGUUGGCUCUUAAUGAAGGACAGUAAAGUCUGGCUCUCAGUCAGUCAAUUCUGUGACAGGAGGUUUUAAACUAUUCCUUCAAAACUCAAGUAACAGAAUGAAAUGAAACUAAUAUUCUCCCUCUUUUAAAGGGAUAUUCCGGCGUAAAAUUUACCGCAGAACCAAGUUAGACACCCCUGUCGAGAGAUGAAUGUUGUCAACCGUUUGCUUCUCAAGUUCUACCAACUUUAGUAACGACCGCAGGAUAGCGAUACACAGCAGUCUGAGGAGCCGUAAACAAACCUCAACCAAAACACCACUCUAUAGCCACAAAUAAUGCUCAGAACUUCACCUAACAGCAGCUCAAGGAAGAACAUUUAUGAUCCUUUCUUCAUGGAAAUGCAAUCAGACCGAGACGCUGAGGCAGAAGAACUACCGCGUCUGCAGCGCAAAAUGAUUAAUAUGAUGAUUAUUACUUAAAGGAAAUGAUAAAGAAAUGAUAAGUGUUCUUCCUUGAGCUGCGUCACCCCGCUGUAGUCUGUAUUGAACUGGCCUGAGGUCUCGCUACAAACAAGCGGCUGCUGGAAGAGAGUAGGUAAGUUGUGUUUAGUCUCUUUGCCAAAGGAAUUAGGCAAAGCUAAAAAGAUGUUUGGUGGCUAGUGCUGUGGCUGGGACCCUAUAUGUACUGUUGAUGAAGUUAGGUGCUGUUCUGAGCAUUAUUUGUGGCUAUAGAGUGGCGUUUUGGUUGAGGUUUGUUUAUGGCUCUUCAGACUGCUGUGUAUUGCUAUCGUGCGGUUGUUGCUAAAGUUGGUAAAACUAGAGAAGCAAGAGGUCGGCAACAUUCAUCUUUUGAGGGGGUGACUAACUUGGUUUUACGGUGUGUUUACCCUGAACCAGAAAGUCAUACUGUGCACCCUGUAUGCAGAGGCUCUAUAAUUAGUGUUAUUCCUUACACUUACAUCCUAGUUUCCUGCUCUAUCUAUAUCUACCUUCACUGAAAUUCACUGAAAUCCCUCAAAAUAUUCUAAAAAUGAAAACACUCAGAAAUGACUCAGAUGUUCAUACUGAAUUUUAUUAAAAAGUAAUUGGCAAAGACCACUGUAUCAAAGAAGUUGAACCUAUGUGUAAGAUGCAGUCUGUUGUCCCUGUGUAAUGACUUCCAUUGAGGUCAGCAAUGUGCAGUUUCCAUGCAGACGUGAUGCUCUUUCUAUUUCCAUCUGUUGUUACCACCUACAGUAUACGUAUGAGUUCAGUUGAUAGUUGUAAGACACGGACAGAUCCAUCACACAUGAUCAGUUUGUUGCUUCCCUCUCCUGCAGGUUAGUUAUGGUUUUAAAUUAAAGACUCUGUUCAAUCAAACAAGCGCACUACAAAGUUUGUUAACUUAACAGUUUACCACAGUUUUCUAUAAAUGCUGAUAAAAGUGGGCCAGACUGUUUGACUGGUCUGCCUCAGACAGUCUGGUUAAAAAAGAAGUAAAAAAGGCUUUUGUUCUGGUAGGUUGGGAAGUCUGUCAAAGUGAAAGCGUGUAAAGCAUGAAAUAGUUAACUCCACGCAGAGAUCUCUCUCAGUCAGUCGCUGUACCUGCUGUGAUCUAUGUCUCUCUGCCUCAGGGGAAACACAAUCAUCAGUCAGUGGAUCCACCCAUCCAUCCCUCCGUCGUGCCUGGGAGGCCCUCGGGCCACUCCUAACCCCACAACGCUGCACCCUCCCUGGGCUGAAACUUGGCCACGCUCCCCCUCUCCCCUCCCUGGAGCCUGCGUGGAGCCACCGGCUUCGACUCGUCUUACAGGGCGUCAAUUCAGCCUGAAAUCAAACCCUGGUGAGAGAACACAGGCCUGGAUGGACAGACAGAUAGAUAGAUGGACAGACAGAGAGGUAGAUACGUGGGGAGCAGGUUAACAGACGCAUCCAGGCCAGGCUGAGAGAAAAAGAAGACGUCCACAGGGACAAGAGGAAAUGAAUAGAGGCUGGAAGUGUGUCAUUUUCCUGCGGGAGGUGGGGAAUGUAAUUUUACAACCCAACUAAACUUGAUCAAACCUGAAUCCAUCUAGACUCGGAACAAACACCCCAAAUCAGAUGUGAAACAGGGCGGUGAGGAGGGGAGAGAGUGGAACAGGAGACUCUUCUAUUUACCACCUGUUGUUUUAGUGAAAAACACACACACACACACACACCCUCACACACACAAAAGCGGUUCUAUGGAAAGUCAAGCUUAAUGAAGACUUCUCUGGAACAGCAGUGGUAGUAAAAACCUCACCCUUUUCUGAAUGUGAGCCAAUAAUGUUAUCAAAAAGACUGUGAUGUUUUCUAGUGACGCUUUGGCAAUAAAUCAAUAUACCGUGUCAUAUUUAUGUCAACAUACUCCAAAGAGGGAAUACAGUCA